AUCCAGAUGACGAGUCCCAAAUAGGACGGAAUGCACAUCCUGGAU
rfam:Trichobilharzia regenti genome assembly, scaffold: TRE_scaffold0002128